rnacentral:rRNA from 1 species
ACUCCUGCGGGAGGCAGCAGUAGGGAAUCUUCGGCAAUGGGGGCAACCCUGACCGAGCAACGCCGCGUGAGUGAAGAAGGUUUUCGGAUCGUAAAGCUCUGUUGUAAGUCAAGAACGAGUGUGAGAGUGGAAAGUUCACACUGUGACGGUAGCUUACCAGAAAGGGACGGCUAACUACGUGCCAGCAGCCGCGGUAAUACGUAGGUCCCGAGCGUUGUCCGGAUUUAUUGGGCGUAAAGCGAGCGCAGGCGGUUUGAUAAGUCUGAAGUUAAAGGCUGUGGCUCAACCAUAGUUCGCUUUGGAAACUGUCAAACUUGAGUGCAGAAGGGGAGAGUGGAAUUCCAUGUGUAGCGGUGAAAUGCGUAGAUAUAUGGAGGAACACCGGUGGCGAAAGCGGCUCUCUGGUCUGUAACUGACGCUGAGGCUCGAAAGCGUGGGGAGCGAACAGGAUUAGAAACCCUUGUAGUCCCAUG